rnacentral:rRNA from 2 species
CACCGCGGUUAUACGAAAGGCCCAAGUUGAAAAACAUUCGGCGUAAAGGGUGGCUAAGGACCUACUUCAAACUAGAGCUGAAUUUCUUCAAAGCUGUUAUACGCUCAUGAAAACCAGAAAAUCAACCACGAAAGUGGCUCUAAUCACACCUGACACCACGAAAGCUAUGACA